UGGGGUCUCCACGGGGUGUCUCUGCCCCCCAGAGGAGGCCGCGCAGGUCCUGGAGCGCCUGAACCGGGCGCAGCCGCCCCCCAACAUCGACAUCAGCCCCCCCCGGCGGUGAGACAGCGCCCGCCCCACGGCCUGCCCCACAGCCUGCCCCACAGCGCCCCACAGCGCCCCAUAACCGCCCCAUAACCGCCCCACAACCCCCCGCCCCCCGCCGCUGCCCGACGCCCGUCCCCNNNNNNNNNNNNNNNNNNNUGGCCCCGGACCCCUUCUUUGGGGUCAUGGCCCCCCCACUGCCCAGCCCCACCGAGCUGAUGGAGCUCCCCCGCCUGGAGGAGGAGCUGCCCCCGAUGGAGCUGCCCGAGCUGACGGUGUCCCCCGAGAUCAUCACCCUGCGCGAGCCCGAGCCCCCCAUGGUGCCGGCCUUGGAGGAGGAGCUGCCCGAGGUGACGCCGCGGGAGCUGGAGCUGCUGAGCGAGGCCGAGGUCGAGCUCCUGCCCACCGUGGAGGAGGUCGCGGAGGUCCCGAGGGAGCUGCCACCACCCCGCGUUCCGCCUGUGCGCGAGGAGCCCGGCGUGCUGCCCCCCGAGGCCCCCCGGCGCCGCAAAGUCCCGCGGCUGCCCCACAGCGACCCCCAGCCCCAGAUCCCCCAGGCCGAGUUCCGGGCGCUGCUGCUGCAGCCCGAGGCGCACUGCCAGCCCCUGGUGAUCCCGGAGCCCCCCUCCCUGCGCCGCCUUCCCCCGGCCGAGCUCUUCCAGACCCCGACCAUCGGUGAGCGCCCCCCCCNNNNNNNNNNGGGGCCGUGCCCCACAGCUCCUGCCCCACAGGUGCCCCGCGAGGCACUGGAGCCCAGCCUGCCGGUGGUGCUGUCCUCGGGUGAGACCCCCUGUGGGGCGCUAUGGGGCAAUAUGGGGUGGCUGUGGGGUGAUGUGGGGCAGCUAUGGGGUGAUAUGGGGUGGCUAUGGGGCAAUAUGGGGUGGUGUGGGGUGCUAUGGGGGCAUAUGGGAUGGCUAUGGGGCACUAUGGGGCAGCUAUGGGUUGAUGUGGGGUGCUAUGGGGCUGGCUAUGGGGCACUAUAG
rnacentral:lncRNA from 1 species